UGCGUAGGUGGUUGGUUAAGUUUGAGGUGAAAGCUCCGAGCUCAACUCGGAAAAUGCCUUGAAGACUAUCUGACUAGAGGAUUGGAGGGGAGAUUGGAAUUCUCGGUGUAGCAGUGAAAUGCGUAGAUAUCGAGAGGAACACCAGUGGCGAAGGCGAAUCUCUGGACAAUUCCUGACACUGAGGCACGAAAGCCAGGGGAGCAAACG
rnacentral:rRNA from 1 species